GUAGACGCUAUACUCUAAGAUUAACCCAUGCAUGUUUAUUGAAUAUAAAGAAAAGACGAACAGCUCAGUAACUCUUAUUUGAUUUGAUGUAUUAGGAUUCUAACUAUGUUAAAUUAUAGGUAACAAUAAUACAAUAAGAAUAAGAUCUAUCAGUUAGUUGUUAGGGUAAUGGCUUAACAAGACUAUGACGGAUUAACGGUAUUACUUUGUAAUAUUCCGGAGAAGGAGCCUGAGAGAUUGCUACUAAGUCUAAGGAUUGCAGCAGGGGCGAAACUUGACCUAUGAUAUUAUAUUGAGGCAGUUAUGAGUAGUAUUUUAUAAUUAUUGUAGUAUUGUAAGUACAUAUUACAAGAUAAAUCGGAGGGCAAAUCGAGUGCCAGCAGCCGCGGUAAUACUUGUUCCGAUAGUGUGUAUGAUGAUUGAUGCAGUUAAAAAGUCUGUAGUUUAUUUUAUAAUAAGCAUUGUAAGGUAUACUGUAUGGUUAGGAGAGAGAUGAAAUGUGAUAACCCUAACUGGAUGAACAGAAGCGAAAGCUGUAUACUUAAAUGUAUUAUUAGAACAAGGACGUAAGCUAGAGGAUCGAAGAUGAUUAGAUACCAUUGUAGUUCUAGCAGUAAACUAUGUUGAAUCAUAGAUAUAUUUUGAUAUAUAUUUAUGUAGAGAAAUUAAGAUUAUAUUGACUCUGGGGAUAGUAUGAUCGCAAGAUUGAAAAUUAAAGAAAUUGACGGAAGAAUACCACAAGGAGUGGAUUGUGCGGCUUAAUUUGACUCAACGCGGGGUAAUUUACCAGGUAUAACAUGGUAUAAUAUUUUAUCAUGAUAGUGGUGCAUGGCCGUUUCCAAUGGAUGCUGUGAAGUAAUGAUUAAUUUCAACAAGAUGUGAGACCCUCAUUUUGACAGAUGUAGUGAUACAUAUGAAGGAGAGGAUUAAAACAGGUCCGUUAUGCCCUAAGAUAAUCUGGGUUGCACGCGCAAUACAAUAAUAUUUGAUAUUAUAAGGGAUAAUAUAAUGUAAGAUAUAUUUGAACAUGGAAUUGCUAGUAAAUUUUAUUUAAUAAGUAGAAUUGAAUGAGUCCCUGUUCUUUGUACACACCGCCCGUCGCUAUCUAAGAUGGUAUUAUCUAUGAACAAAUUUAUAAAGUGAAUAGAUAGUACUAGAUCUGAUAU
rnacentral:rRNA from 1 species